GCUUGUAAGCACGGGAGUCCCGGAGAGCGGGGACUGAGAGUGGGCGCGCCCGCCCUUACCGUCACACCUGAUCCGGGUCAUGCCGGCGAAGGGAGCGAGGAUGCAGUCUCU
rnacentral:ncRNA from 2 species